GUCUCGGUGGUUUAGUGGUAAAAUUCUUGCCUUCCAUGCAAGAGACCCGGGAUUGAUUCUUGGCCAAUGUA
rnacentral:tRNA from 1 species